ACUCUCUCGAGUGCACAUCCAGGAACCAGAGUGCACCCAGUAAAUAUCUUUUCACACAUGCUACAGAUAGCUCAUCUAUCUGAGAGAUGUAUUAGCUACUGGCGUAUCAAAAUAAAAAAAAUGAGGGGGGGGGGGGGCGCCCGCCCGAUCUAUAUUGGCAGCAUUGAUGGCGACGCGCCAUCAACAGUACAUAUGCACAUCAAAGCCUCAUGCAGCGAAUUAUCUAUCACGACAAAUAACAAUUGCGCGGCGGCUGGAGACGCGGUGGCACGACGCGCAGUGUUGGGUAGUUUGCGCUACAUGAGCCGAAAAAGAGGGGGGCCCUCCGGGGCCAAUCCGUCGCUUUGCUGCGAGCGUACAUGAAUAUACAACCUACCAUUUAAGUAGCUGCUGGCGGUGUUAUAUUGGUUUCAUGACAGCCUCAUUACACGUAAAUAUCUAAUAAGUACGUUACGAUUGUCUCUAUAUUACGCUCGUAAGAUUUCUUUGCAGUCGUCAUCGGGAAAUGCCAGCGCUGCCACCUCCAAAGCUGAACUGGAGCUGCCGCUCACUUUCAGAACGCCUAGUUCAAAAGAAUCUAGUGAAAUUGAAUAUCUGGAACAUUUCUGAUACUCUAAACUGAAAAAAAAAGAAAAAACGUGACCAUUGGGAGACGCUGCCACGGCUCCACCUCAAAACCGUGCACGGUCUUCGAAGCACUUUGUAACAUGUUGCUUUUUCUACGCUAUUUCUUUUUUCAGCCGUCGGCCUUGUCAUGAUACGUUUUCUCUACUACUCACGCAAAUUAUACACAAAAGUUCGCUCACUAACCAAUGCGGAACCUGCGGUCAAUGCUAUAAGUGCCUUUCUUUUCAAAACUGCGUGCGCUUGCUGUAGAAAGAUAGGAAAGUGGGCGAGUUCGUUACGAUUCAUCGUGCUUUUAGCAACAGCGCAAUAAGAACGCGGAAACAAGGAACAAUCACUCCGAAGAAGCAACGCCGUGUUGCUGUGUUUCUUCCUUUUGUCCUUGUCGCUUUCGCGCUGACCACAAGUACGAGUCAUUGCUUUGUUUUAAUUAGCAGGGGGUAGAAGUAGGGCAGCGCGGAUCCCGUAAAUGCUUGCUUGGGCGUACAACUGAAUAAUUUAUAAUUGUCAGUUGGCUGAGUAUGAAAGUUGUAUGCGGAGUAUGGCCGUAUUUGUUUCAUUACGCGAGCUUGCAAGCAGUACGCCUGUUUCACUUUGGGCGAAGUUCCGCUGCCGCUGUAAGCCAGCCAUCGCCACGUUUUUUCGCCUUUAUUCCUUACGCUACGAGGAAAUGUGGUUCCAGCUAUUCAAGAUAAGGCCUCACAUUCUCAAAAACACGCCACUGGGCGCCAUAAGAAGCGUGUAUAUGUGUGAUUCGGAAUUUCUGAUCGGUGGGUCUCGCAGCUAUCGCGGCUUCCCGUACACCGUCCGCCAUCCCAAGAAGACGGAGCUGCACAUGCUGCGCGCUGAUUCCCUCGUGUUCGCCGGCAAAAGUUCGCACAUAGUUUGUCUGAUAUCUCUGUAUAUGCUUUUAAAAAACAAGGCAGCACACCACGGCACUUCAAACAUCGAUAAGUUGUGUUUAAAUAGCAGCCUUCCAUCCAGCUACGACUUUCCCUGAGUAAGAAAAUAAAAUCUUGAAGGCCGUGCUUUUGCAAACUGCAUGCCCUGAAAGCAAAUGUAGAUCUCGGAGGCUAAAUUGACUUGUUAGCCGCAGUGCAGCACUGCGGCAGUGUGAAGGUUAGGUUGCCUCGGUUGCCUCGAUGUGCGCCCGCUCUCCGCGGGCGCACAAUAAAAUGGCGGCCGCGCUAGCAGACAACGUGGUUGUCCUCACCCUAAACGGAGAGCGGGUGCGCGCGUAGGCACCCUAGUGACGGUUAUGCCCGGUAAAAUUACUGGAUGAUAUAUUGAGCUGGGCCACGUUGCGUUUGUGUGAGCGGUGAGAAUGCUCGUUGCAGUUACACGGUAAUUGAAUCAUAUUUUGGAAGUGCCUAAACAAACUGUGAUCCGUAUCGUGUGCAUUAACCAUCAGGAAACCUCUGGACUCGUGUAACGCCAUUAGUUCGCCUUAUGUUUCCUGUGAUACACCGGUGUCUUACGUGUACUACAGCGCCCGUCCGAGCUGCCUUUGUUCUCGCCUGUCCGCGUUCGCUCGUGAAAUGCCUGGCACUGUGGCUUCGAAUUAUAGUGCGUGGAAGAGUUUGUUGAAAGUUGUGCUUUUGUGCGGUGGUGUUCAUCGGCAAUUCGACAGUGUUCGUGCUGGAAAGAGCGUCGUCGCGUGGUGCCUGCGAGACGAAGGAGCGCUUGCUGUUCACAUCUUGAAGGUUAUGCGGAUUCUGGAGUCAAGCCUACGACCUGUAGGAACCUGCUGCACUGCUACAUAUUGGAUCGCACAACGAUGCACUUGACCUGCAUGCUUUUACAAGGUGCCCUGUGAGCUCUCAUCCAAGCAGAGGUCUGCUGUGAGCAGACGUGGCAAAUUGAAGUAACAUACAGAUAGUCCAAUAAAAUACUCGUAAUUUCAGACAAACCUUUACAAAGUACAGUGAAAACUUUCUUUUAAAAGUACAAACACCAAUACAGCGUGAUCUUUCCAUCCAAACAUUACAUUUUAUAUUAGUAAGAAAGACAUAACUAGAACAGCAGCAGCACUGCGGUGAGGAACGUACAAUAGUAUUCCAAGUGUUAUACUGAAAUAUUCUAUGAAGUCUAAUUAGUUUGUAAUUUUAGAACAAGCUAGCAUGACUUUCUGUGCCAUAGCAGUGUUCUAAUCUGUAUGCUGCAUCUUGUAGGGAACAGUAACCUUGCAAUCUUCAUCUGUGCAUGUCUACAUAAAAUACAGGAUUUAAUCACUGGGGCCACAUAAAGGAUGCAUAAAGGUGGAACACACGAAGGAAACAUAAAAGCAGUGGCCAAAUUUCAACAUGGAGGAAACAUAAAGGACGGUAACAUAAAGGAUACACAAAGGAAAGACACAUAAAGGAAACAUAAAAGCAGUGGCCAAAUUUCAACAUGGAGGAAACAUAAAGUACGUUAACAUAAGGGAUACAUAAAGGGAGGACACAUGAAGGAAACAUAAAAGCAGUGGCCAAAUUUCAACAUGGAGGAAACAUAAAGGACAUUUCCUCAUGUGACCUCAAGGAAACAUACAGUAAACAUAAAGGACAUAACCAUUUUCAU